CAACCAGAGUAACAUUUUUUACUGAAAAAAAUUCAUAUCUUGGCCCCAAAUAGCAUGUUAUUAACAUGAUAAAAACAUUGCUAACUAAGGUAAAGGCCCAUGAGAUAAGGUGACUACUGAUAUGUGAAAGGAGGCUUCUGAAUUUGGGAUGUUAUCCAGGCGUACCCUGUACAGCUGCCUUUAAUUAUCCCACUUCUGUAAACAAUGGAUACUGAAGAAUAGUUGAAGGACCUUCAUUUUCAGUUUAAAAAGGCUGCUGGACCAAUCAACAGCAAUCAGUAACUUAACAACAACGGAGAGAUAACAAUGGAGAGGGAUAAUCAUGUCGAUCCUGAGAAAAGGACGUUAAGAAGGCUGCUCCCAUGCUAUACACAUAAGAUAAAGAAGAGAAAGAGGCGUGAUAAUAGGGCUGUGACGAUUUACGUGAAGUUAUUCCUAUUAUUUGAUUUUUCUGUUGAGAAGAAAACUUGUUGAGACCCAUAUUCCACAAAAAA